rnacentral:lncRNA from 1 species
AGCUCAUGCUCGAUAACAAGGAGGUCGAUGAUGCUCGUAAGGCUUGAUUUUUGUUAGAAAACGGCGCAUCUCAUCUACAUGUCAUAUUGUUAAUCUUGCAUUAGGGUUUUUCUUUCUUUCUUUCUUUUUUUUUCGAUUCAUGAAUAAAAAGGCAUGACCAAGGAGGGCUCUGGUUUCUAGCCUUUGUGCAAGAAACUUAUCAUUUUCGAGCCUUUUUUUUUUUUAGAAUUUCUUAUGUCUAAUCUUUUUCUUGAAAUAGCCUGAAUGAUUGAAAAACCUAUUAAGAUUGAUAAUAUUAUUAUGAUAGGCACCAUGAAAAAUUUACUAGGCGUGUAUCUUUAUAAAUUUUUUUAAAAUAUUUAUCAUAAUAUUUUUGGAUUAGAUAUGGAUCUCAUAAUUUUUUUCAAACAAUGACGUAUAAAAAUAUUUCAAACAUAUACUUCAAUCAUGAAAUGGUGAGCCAUAUGUUAGAAUAUUACAUCUCUCACGAGCUUGAAGCUAAACUUAAAAAUGCUUGGAGAAGCUUCGUCACAUUCAAGUCUCUCUAUGAGCCUUUGAUCAAGGUUCAACGAUGGAUGAUUACUAAUUCCAAGGCACAGACAAACAAAGAGCUCUAAAUGAUGAAUUUCUCCUUCCUUUCCUUCUCUUCACACAUUGCCAUUGGAAACUUUGAAGAGCUGGUUACUCGAGUGGUCAAGUCCUUUCGAUCUACAGAGGCAAUGGAGAUAGGCAAUGGCUCCUUCCUACUUGAAAAAGAUGAUCCAAAGUAAGCUAGAGAAGCUAAGAGAGAUGGCCCCAAAGCUCAUCGCAAGGCAUACAGGAAAGUCCUAAUCCUCUUUUUUUUUUUUUUUUGCUAUGAGACACAAAAAUAAGAAAAAGAUUAAAAAAAAGAAUAAUAAGAAGAAGGCUUUAGUGUCUUCCCCUUCUAACAACACUAUGGACACUAGUCCCUCUAAUUCUUCUUCCCCUCCUCAUAUAUAUUCUUAAUAUUAAUCCUCUCAUGAAAUUGCAAGGGGGCCUAAAAAAAGAAAAAGAAAAGUCAUUUUAGGAUGAUGAUAAAAACCACAAUCUUUCCUUGAUUGUCCUUUUGGAAAUGCAUCUUAAUAGAGACAUAAAUUAUAAUUUCAUUAUAUGUCUGAUUUUGGGUUAGUGCUUUCUACGAUGCUAUCGAUAUAUCUAAUGGUAUUCUAAUUAUAUAAAGGAAUGAUCAAUUAAUGACAGUAGAAAUCUACAAUAGUUAACAAGCCCUCUACUUCAUAGUCGAGGACAGUAAACCUCCUUGGCUUUUUACUAUUUAUGCUGGUACAAAUGCUUAUAUUUAUCGCCCUCUUUAGAGAUUGUUAACUAGUGUUAGUUUGGAUUCUGUUCCUUAGAUGGUUUAUGGUGACAUGAAUUCUAUUACUACUCCAAAUAGAAAAUUAGAUAAUAUGUCUGUUCUUUUGAAUAGAUAAGUUCAAGAUUUUUAUAAUUUUCAUUUUUGUUCUAGGUUGAUUGACUUGGGAUUUCAUGGUAAUUGCUUUACUUGGUGUUAUAAGCAGUUUGGUCCUUCUCAUGUUUCUACUUGGCUUGAUAGAAUCCUUACAAAUGAUGCUUGAUGUUCUUGUUUUUCGAAUGUUAUGAUCCAGUAUUUACCUAAGAUUACCUUUGACCAUGCCCCUCUUCUGAUCAAUCUUAACAUUAACCCCGAAGAUCCCCGGAGAUUCCAUCUCUUUUGUUAUGAAACUUUUUGCUAAUGUCGUUAGAAACUUUAUGAAUAACUCUCUUGAUCUCAUCAGGCCUAUGUAUCUUCAUUUUAUUCUUUUCAAUAUAGGAAAACACAUGACCAAUUGGAGUAUACAUAGUAUUGAGUCCCUUAAGGAUGAUAUUAGGGACACUAUUAGGAAUAUAAUUGUCCUUAAAAAUAAAGAUAACCUUACUCAUCUCUUGGACAAGAACUCUCUACUCUUUAGAGGCAAUCGCAUUUGAAGCAAUAAACUAGGGUUAAACUAGUGGUUGAAUGUGAUAGACAAAAAUACUAAAUUUUUUCAUAGAUUGGUUAACCUCAAGAGAAAGAUAAAUACUAUCUAUGCUAUCUAGAAUAACUCUUAGCCCCCUAGCAUGGAUGUUAAUGACAUCCUCUUGGAAUUUGUGACUUAGUACCAUAGAAUGUUGAAUGAUCGUUUGAACAAUCCCCUCCUUUACCCCCUUGUGAAUCUUCCUAAACUCCAUAGCAACUCUCAUUCUAAUCUUCUUAAAGAGUUUAACCUUUAGAAAAUUAACCUAGCUCUCUUGGCUCGAAUGGAUUUACUGUUAUUUUUAAAAAAAAUUCUAGGAGGACAUUAACCUCUUCAUUCUUGCUACUUUCAAUAAUUUUCAUAAGUUCAGCUAUUAUUCCUAAAAGUUGGGGUCAAACUUAAAAUUUCUAACUUUAGACCUAUUACCCUGUGUACUGUUAUUUACAAGCUUCUAACCAAAGUCAUAUCCCUUAAAUCUUCCUAAACUCUAUUAUAGAUCAAAACCAAUCUCUUUUGUAUGAGGUUGAGAUAUUCAUGAUAACGUUACUAUUCUUAAUGAGUUAGUGUACACUAUAUUUAGGUCUAGAGGGAGAAAUCUUCUCAUCCUUAUUAAAACCGAUAUUGAGAAAACUUAUGAUCGAGUCUCUAGAGAUGUUAUCAUUAAUAUUAUGGGUCAUAUGAAGUUCCCUAUGGUGUUCAUUGAGUGGAUUAAAGCUUGCAUCUUUUUUACUAACUUUGCUUAUUGCAUCUAUAGGUCCACUAUACCUUUUUCGGUACUACUAGAGGAAUCAGGCCAGGGAUCCUAUAUCCCCCUAUCUUUUCAUCAUCGUUUAAAUUUUUUUUUCUUUAAUCUUAGAUGAUAUGACUAGAUCUUUUUAGAUUUUGCCUUUUAAUUUUAAAGGGAUUAAGAUCUCUCAUCCAAUGUUUACUAGAUGAUGUGGUCAUUGUCAUUAGGGGUAGUGAUAAGUUCUACGAGAAUCUCCUCAAGACUUUUGAUCAAUACUCUAAAUUUACCAAUCUGAAUAUCAGUAGAUCCAUGUCUGACAUAUACUUUCCUAAGCACUAUCACCCUUUCAGUAAGCAUAGAAUCUGUAGCCUUUUUAAUACAAAAGAAGAAAGCUGGCUAAUGAAAUAAUUAGGAACUUUUAUCUCUCACAGUAAGCUGCCUAAGAGAUAUCAAACUAUCCUUGUGGACAAUGUUCUGAAUAGGAUCCAAGGGUAACAACAGAACAACAUUGUAAAUCAAGUUGGAAAGUCUAUUCUUAUUAAUGUUGUAAUCAACUCCAUCCCUUUUCAUAACUUAAUGAUUUCUUAUAUUUUUGACAAAAUCAUUUGGAAGAUUAAUAGAGUCUUUAGGAAAAUUUUUGAGCCGAAGUGAGUCUAACAAGGGUUCCAAUCUUAUUAGUUGACAAUCUAUCACUAAACCCAAAUUUGAAAGGGGGCUGGGGAUCAGAAAUCUCCAAUUGGUAAAGAAAACUAUUGUUGCUAAAAGGUUGCUACCUCUUCUAAAUAGAGAGAAUAUUUUAUGGGAUAGCAUUCUUAAAGUCAAAUAUAGAUCAUUUUCUCUUUGGUUUCCUUUAAAAAAAUACCUUUGUAUCUUGAUUUUAGAAAGCAUUCUCAACUGUUUGAAAUCCUUACCGAUUGAUUUUUGGGUUAUCUAUCAACAUGUGUAAAGAUCUUUGACUCAAUGUCAUACCACUUGUUGUGUAACAUUUGAAGUUUUCAAGUGAGUUUAAAACUAUUUCUGAUCCAAUUUCAGGUAACUAGUGGAAUGAUAAUUUUUUUUUUUUUCAAAUUUUUUAUCCUAUAAGGUAGUUGCUCUCCAUAUGUCCCUAACCCUAAAGAUGAUGUACAAUACUGAUCCCGUCAUCCGAGAGGGACCUUGACGACUCAAAGUACGUUGGAAGGCAAUUUGAAAAGUCAAAGUCAAUAUUUUUUUUAUGAAAAUUAACUUAGGAGAAGCUUACUGGUUUUCCAGAUUCUUUAGCUCAGUUAUACUUAAUUCUGUUGUUCACUUUCUUUCUUUUUUUAAUAUUCUUUUGUUCUUGAAGAUACUGGACGGGGUACAGUCUCCAACUUGUUUUUGAAUCCAUUUUUGAGCAUGUGGAAGGGCUCGAGGGAGUGCUGGCUUGUUAUCAUCAUCAAUUUUUUAUAGACUUUGUAGAAUGAACGAAAUAAUUAUCGUUUUCGUAAUCGUAAAGACCAAGGGUGAUCUCUCUGGUUUAGUAAGAUGCUGGUUCUAGCUAGUGAGAAUGUGAUUCUAAUAAACUAGCCUGAGGAGUGUGGGGAUCACAGAAUGCAGCAAAAGCUGCUACGUUUCCCAUCUAGUUAUGCUUUGUCUAGCAUCUAGUUUUAUGCCUUGAUGUUAUUUUCGGUUUGGCUUUCAUCCUCAAGGAUGGACAGGGCAAUCUAGUGGCUCCAGGCUGCUCCACAAGAAAACUAAGCUUGGUCCUUUCUUUCUGAAAGUGAAGUUAUUUUUGGAAGCCUUUCAUUUUGCUGUGCGACAGACAAGGCUUCAAAAACAUAUGGAUAAGAUAAGAUGCCUCAAAUGUUGUGAAUCCUCCUGACCUUGGCGUUUGAAGAACAUCCUUAGUGAUUGCCUCUUAUCAUUUGAUAAAAGUGUCGAUCGUAUAGUGAAUGUAACUGGAAAGUUCAUUCUCUAGUUGUUUUUGCAAGAUAUGAGGGUUUAAUUCAUACAUGGUUUUUUGUUGACUUACCCAAAUUACAAAGACCUUUACGAGUGAGUAUUGUGUGCCUCUUGCACAGAUGGCAAAUAAAUCUGUCAUUAUAAAAGUUAUAACUGCUAAACAUAUAAUGCUACCACUUGUAAUUGGAAUCUAUAACAUGCA